rnacentral:rRNA from 1 species
GAUGAACGCUGGCGGCGUGCCUAAUACAUGCAAGUCGAGCGAACGGACGAGAAGCUUGCUUCUCUGAUGUUAGCGGCGGACGGGUGAGUAACACGUGGAUAACCUACCUAUAAGACUGGGAUAACUUCGGGAAACCGGAGCUAAUACCGGAUAAUAUUUUGAACCGCAUGGUUCAAAAGUGAAAGACGGUCUUGCUGUCACUUAUAGAUGGAUCCGCGCUGCAUUAGCUAGUUGGUAAGGUAACGGCUUACCAAGGCAACGAUGCAUAGCCGACCUGAGAGGGUGAUCGGCCACACUGGAACUGAGACACGGUCCAGACUCCUACGGGAGGCAGCAGUAGGGAAUCUUGCGCAAUGGGCGAAAGCCUGACGGAGCAACGCCGCGUGAGUGAUGAAGGUCUUCGGAUCGUAAAACUCUGUUAUUAGGGAAGAACAUAUGUGUAAGUAACUGUGCACAGCUUGACGGUACCUAAUCAGAAAGCAACGGCUAACUACGUG